AAAGGGUCCGUAGGCGGACUCGUAAGUCAGUGGUGAAAUCUCAUAGCUCAACUAUGAAACUGCCAUUGAUACUGCGGGUCUUGAGUAAGGUAGAGGUAGCUGGAAUAAGUAGUGUAGCGGUGAAAUGCAUAGAUAUUACUUAGAACACCAAUUGCGAAGGCAGGUUACCAUGUCUUAACUGACGCUGAUGGACGAAAGCGUGGGGAGCGAACAGGAUUAGAUACCCUUGU
rnacentral:rRNA from 1 species